AAAGCUCCAAGAGACUAACUCCACACACCUAUACCAAAGGAAACAUGGGAAGAAGAGAAACAACCUGAGGGAGGGAUAAUCGAAACCAACCAUCGUGAAAUCAGAUAAUAAGUUUGACACCAUAAAUAACCUUCAAAAUCCACAUAGCAUACACACGUACGAAAACAUUAUCCAAACCUGGAGUGGUAAGCAUGGUGAAAGAGAGACCUACAAGAGAUGCAAGCACUGAUGAAAGCUGCAACGCGAUGAGAAAACAGAGAGGAAAAGAGAGACAAAACAAAAUCAGCAAACUGUGGAGCUGUCCUCGAACUAUGAAAGAGAGCAUAUAAGUCAAGAUCCCCAAAAACUAGAUCUUGAAAACCAAAACGAACAAGGACUAUUGACGGUAAACCAACGACGAGGAAUACAACAUCAAAGACGACUAAAAUCUGACCCAACCCAAAGAAAUACAGUUCUAACAUCAACCGAAAUCUAAGGAAGAAGAGGAGCAACCAAUAUUGACUGGAAAAGCCUACAACGUUGUGAGAAACAACCACACAACUGGGAACUCAUAAAGUCGAUCUACAACAAAUUCCGUAUAAUCUCACCGACGAAGAAGGCGAAGAAGAACAAGAGCAGGAGGUGAGUCUUUUUUCGGUGAUGGUGAGAAGCACCGCACACUAGAAAGGUAAACGAAAAACAGAGAGGUGACGACUCAAGGUCAAAAUAUGGGGAGAGGAAAAAAAACAUUUUAAAAGUUAUAAUUUUCAAAAAUAUGAAAAAAAUAAAAUAUAAUUUUGACGUUGAAACAAUUAAUCUUAAAAUCGACAAAGCCUUAUUGAAAAUUAAAUAUGCUUUUACAUUAUAUGC
rnacentral:lncRNA from 1 species